GAUGAACGCUGGCGGCGUGCCUAAUACAUGCAAGUCGAGCGAACGGACGAGAAGCUUGCUUCUCUGAUGUUAGCGGCGGACGGGUGAGUAACACGUGGAUAACCUACCUAUAAGACUGGGAUAACUUCGGGAAACCGGAGCUAAUACCGGAUAAUAUUUUGAACCGCAUGGUUCAAAAGUGAAAGACGGUCUUGCUGUCACUUAUAGAUGGAUCCGCGCUGCAUUAGCUAGUUGGUAAGGUAACGGCUUACCAAGGCAACGAUGCAUAGCCGACCUGAGAGGGUGAUCGGCCACACUGGAACUGAGACACGGUCCAGACUCCUACGGGAGGCAGCAGUAGGGAAUCUUCCGCAAUGGGCGAAAGCCUGACGGAGCAACGCCGCGUGAGUGAUGAAGGUCUUCGGAUCGUAAAACUCUGUUAUUAGGGAAGAACAUAUGUGUAAGUAACUGUGCACAUCUUGACGGUACCUAAUCAGAAAGCCACGGCUAACUACGUGCCAGCAGCCGCGGUAAUACGUAGGUGGCAAGCGUUAUCCGGAAUUAUUGGGCGUAAAGCGCGCGUAGGCGGUUUUUUAAGUCUGAUGUGAAAGCCCACGGCUCAACCGUGGAGGGUCAUUGGAAACUGGAAAACUGAGUGCAGAAGAGGAAAGUGGAAUUCCAUGUGUAGCGGUGAAAUGCGCAGAGAUAUGGAGGAACACCAGUGGCGAAGGCGACUUUCUGGUCUGUAACUGACGCUGAUGUGCGAAAGCGUGGGGAUCAAACAGGAUUAGAUACCCUGGUAGUCCACGCCGUAAACGAUGAGUGCUAAGUGUUAGGGGGUUUCCGCCCCUUAGUGCUGCAGCUAACGCAUUAAGCACUCCGCCUGGGGAGUACGACCGCAAGGUUGAAACUCAAAGGAAUUGACGGGGACCCGCACAAGCGGUGGAGCAUGUGGUUUAAUUCGAAGCAACGCGAAGAACCUUACCAAAUCUUGACAUCCUUUGACAACUCUAGAGAUAGAGCCUUCCCCUUCGGGGGACAAAGUGACAGGUGGUGCAUGGUUGUCGUCAGCUCGUGUCGUGAGAUGUUGGGUUAAGUCCCGCAACGAGCGCAACCCUUAAGCUUAGUUGCCAUCAUUAAGUUGGGCACUCUAAGUUGACUGCCGGUGACAAACCGGAGGAAGGUGGGGAUGACGUCAAAUCAUCAUGCCCCUUAUGAUUUGGGCUACACACGUGCUACAAUGGACAAUACAAAGGGCAGCGAAACCGCGAGGUCAAGCAAAUCCCAUAAAGUUGUUCUCAGUUCGGAUUGUAGUCUGCAACUCGACUACAUGAAGCUGGAAUCGCUAGUAAUCGUAGAUCAGCAUGCUACGGUGAAUACGUUCCCGGGUCUUGUACACACCGCCCGUCACACCACGAGAGUUUGUAACACCCGAAGCCGGUGGAGUAACCUUUUAGGAGCUAGCCGUCGAAGGUGGGACAAAUGAUUGGGGUGAAGUCGUAACA
rnacentral:rRNA from 1 species